rnacentral:rRNA from 1 species
CCUACGGGUGGCAGCAGUGAGGAAUAUUGGUCAAUGGGCGCGAGCCUGAACCAGCCAAGUAGCGUGAAGGAUGACUGCCCUACGGGUUGUAAACUUCUUUUAUAAAGGAAUAAAGUGAGGCACGUGUGCCUCUUUGUAUGUACUUUAUGAAUAAGGAUCGGCUAACUCCGUGCCAGCAGCCGCGGUAAUACGGAGGAUCCGAGGGUUAUUCGGUUUUAUUGGGUUUAAAGGGAGCGUAGAGGGGUUGUUAAGUCAGUGGUGAAAGUUUGAGGCUCAACCGUAAAAUUGCAAUUGAUACUGGCAGCCUUGAGUACAGUUGAGGUAGGCGGAAUUCGUGGUGUAGCGGUGAAAUGCUUAGAUAGCACGAAGAACUCCGAUUGCGAAGGCAGCCUACUAAACUGCCACUGACAUUGAUGCUCGAAAGUGUGGGUAUCAAACAGGAUUAGAUACCCGUGUAGUC